ACCAUCUUAACAAUUUUUCAAGAAUACAAUUCAGUGGUAUUACACAUAUUAAUAAUGUGUAUAUGUGUUACUAUCAUCUAUAUCCAGAAAUCUUUUUAUUUUAUAAACCUAAUUCUAAGCUGGGCAGUGGUGGUGCAUGCCUUUAAUCCCAGCAGAGGCAGGCGGAUCUCUGAGUUUGAGGCCAGCCUGGUCUACAGGGUGAAUUCUAGGACAGUCAAAACUACACAAGGAAAACCUGUUUCACACCCCCCCCCCCAAACCAAAGCAAACCAAACCAAAAACCAAUCAAACCCCCAAAACCAACCA
rnacentral:lncRNA from 1 species